UCAGCUUGUUGGUGGGGUAAUGGCCUACCAAGGCGACGACGGGUAGCCGGCCUGAGAGGGCGACCGGCCACACUGGGACUGAGACACGGCCCAGACUCCUACGGGAGGCAGCAGUGGGGAAUAUUGCACAAUGGGCGAAAGCCUGAUGCAGCGACGCCGCGUGAGGGAUGACGGCCUUCGGGUUGUAAACCUCUUUCAGCAGGGAAGAAGCGAAAGUGACGGUACCUGCAGAAGAAGCGCCGGCUAACUACGUGCCAGCAGCCGCGGUAAUACGUAGGGCGCAAGCGUUGUCCGGAAUUAUUGGGCGUAAAGAGCUCGUAGGCGGCUUGUCACGUCGGAUGUGAAAGCCCGGGGCUUAACCCCGGGUCUGCAUUCGAUACGGGCUAGCUAGAGUGUGGUAGGGGAGAUCGGAAUUCCUGGUGUAGCGGUGAAAUGCGCAGAUAUCAGGAGGAACACCGGUGGCGAAGGCGGAUCUCUGGGCCAUUACUGACGCUGAGGAGCGAAAGCGUGGGGAGCGAACAGGAUUAGAUACCCUGGUAGUCCACGCCGUAAACGUUGGGAACUAGGUGUUGGCGACAUUCCACGUCGUUCGGUGCCGCAGCUAACGCAUUAAGUUCCCCGGCCUGGGGGAGUACCGGCCGCAAGGCUUAAAACUCAAAGGAAUUUCACG
rnacentral:rRNA from 1 species